GUUGAACGCUGGCGGCGUGCCUAAUACAUGCAAGUCGAGCGAACAGAUGAGGCGUUUGCUUCUCUGACGCUAGCGGCGGACGGGUGAGUAAUACGAGGCUAACUUAUCUAUAAGACUGGGAUAACUUCAGGAAACCUGAGCUAAUAUCCGUCCAUAUAUUGAACCGCAUGGUUCUAUAGAGAAAGACCUUUCUGCUGUCCCUUAUAGAGGUAUCCUCGUUGCAUUAGUAAGUUGGUAGGGUAAAGGCUUACCAAGGCAACGAUGCGUAGCCGAUCUGAGAGGGUGAUCAGCCACACUGGAACUGAGACACGGUCCAGACUCCUACGGGAGGCAGCAGUGGGGAAUAUUCGACAAUGGGCGAAAGCCUGAUCGAGCCAUGCCGCGUGAGUGAAGAAGGUCUUCGGAUUGUAAAGCUCUGUAAUUAGGGAGGAACAGAAGUAUAGUAAAACCUUCACGUUUUGACGGUACCAAAACAGUAAGCCACGGCUAACUUCGUG
rnacentral:rRNA from 1 species